AACGAAGUGAAUUGAAAUAUCUUAGUAACUUUAGGAAAAGAAAUCAAACGAGAUUGUUAUUUGGAGUAAACUAAAUAACAAAAAAAAAGCUCAGAUUAAAUGUAUAAACAAACAUUUAACAUUUAAUCGAUAAACCAAACUUCCGGAAUAGAACGGAUUAAAAUCUGUUUGAAGUUAGGGGAACCUUCCUCUAAAGCUAAAUAUAAUAUAUAAGCGAUAGUUAAAAGUACCGUGAGGUAAAAUUUGAAAUAGUAGUUUUAUAAGCAGCUCGAGUAAAAUUUAAGUAAAAAAUAAGAGCGUACCUUUUGCAUAAUGGGUCAGCAAGUUAAUUUUAGAUGCAAGCAAAAAAUGAAUAAACGCUUAGAUAAACCAAUUAUGAAAAAAUGAAUAAGUAUCUAGAAUUAGACCCGAAGACUAGUGAUCUUACCAUGGUCAGGGUUAAAAAAGCCCGAACGGGUUAUCGUUGUAUAGAUAUCCGAGGAACUGUGGUAAGUUAGUGAAAGACAAAACUGACUAGUAUAGCUGGUUUUCCGCGAAACCUAUAUGAGUAGGUAAUUUAACUAACAUCUUAGCAGGUACAGAACUGUGAUCUCGGACAAUAUCAAUUGAUUUUGUUAACAUCGGGGGGUUGUAGUGACUUUACCGGAGAGUAUUUGCACUCGGAAUGGCAAAGAUGAAUGUUGAAUAAUCGGACAUAGUGCGAUAAGGUUGUAUGUCUAAAGGGAAACAGCCCAGAACAAGAGUUAAGGUUCCAAAAUUAUUGUUGAGUGAAAUUAAGGAUGUUUUUUUUAAAUACAAUCAGGAAAUAGGCUUAGAAGCGGCCAUUUUUUGAAGACCUCGUAACAGAGCACUGAUUAAAGAGAAAAACACCGAAAAUUUAACGGAUCUAAACAAUAUACCGAAACCUUGUACACAUAUUUAUAAUAAUUUAUAUUGUAUAUGUGGGGUAGCGGAACAUUGGAUAAAUAUUAUAUAUUCUUCGCCUCAAAGCGAGGAAUAAGUAUGGAUAAUUAUUAAUAAUAUUUAAGGAUAUUAGUAUAAUCUUAUGAUAUCUCUAAAGGUAAAAUGGUUUAUAUAAAUCUAGAGAUUUAGAGAGUUCUUUAUUAUUCCAUCCAUAUAAUCCAAGAGAGAAUGCUGACAUGAGUAACGAAAAAGGAAUAUCCUCGCCUUAAGCUUAUGGUAUUUUAUUUAAUUUUCGGUAUCUAAAAAUAUUAAUCAAAAGGUAAUUUUGAUGAUAUUUAUAUAUAAAUUCUUCUCUUAAGUAACGGCAAAACCUUUAAAAAGUAAUAAAGGUUCUGGAAAAUCUUUACAAGCUACUAAAGGCUAUUUAAUUUAUUGUAUACCGUAUAUAAUGUUUCCAGUAUAUUUAGCAAUCUACUAAAUAGAAAGAGACAUUAUAUACUCUUAUUUAGUCGGGGGUUUAAAGAAAAAGUAUAAUUUAAUGAAAAUUAUUAUUAUCUUUAUUAGUUAAAAUAAUUUACAUUUCAAAAAAAUAGUUUAAAGAAUCUUUUUUAUGCAUAUAGUAAGUAAUAAAUGAAAAAGAAAUUUCUUUUUCAUUUAUUAUAUGAAGAAUUAGUAUAUACCGUACCUAGAUACUAUCACAAGUAAGCAAGUAGAGAAUACAAAGGCGUUUGAGUGAACAAUCAUUAAGGAACUCGGCAAAUUGACUACCGUAACUUCGGGAUAAGGAGGGCCAUUAUGAUUAGUUUAACAUAUUUAACUAUAUGAUUUAAUUAAACUAAUUGUAAGAGGAAACAUGAAAUAAUGUUGUACGACUGUUUAAUAAAAACACAGCACUCUGCAAAGAUUAAAUAUCAAAGUAUUGAGUGUGAUGUCUGCCCAAUGUCGGCUGGAUAACGAAUUUACCUUGGUUUUUAACUGAGGUUUUGAAGGAUACCCCGAUUAAUGGCGGCCUUACCUAUGAGGGUCCUAAGGUAGCGAAAUACCUUGGCCGUUAAAUGCGGUCCUGCAUGAAUGAUUUAACGAUACAACAGCUGUCUCGAUGAUUGUCUCAGUGAAAUUGGAAUAGCAGUGCAGAUACUGUUUACCUCUAGAUAGACGAGAAGACCCUAUGCAGCUUUACUGUUACUAAUUAUAAGAGUUAACAUUUAGGAUGAUUGUGAGUGUAUAAGGUAGUUGUAGAGAUAACAAUGAAACACCUUUAUUCGAUUCCUUUAUAUACUCUUGAGGAUUAGGAGGCAGUUUAUGCGGGGCACAGAUCCCACAAAAAGUACCUGGGUAUAUCCAAAGUUAAUAUGUAAAUUUGUAAAUUUCUUUACAAAAUAUUUUAAUUUGUUAUAAUUAUAUUUAUAAUUAUACAGUUAUUAUUCGAUUAAAUUAAAUAUUUAUUUUUUUUUUUUUAAGUAAGAUUUUACCUAUAUGGUAAAUAGAUGUAUUUUAAACUAUAUCCACCACGUUUACCGUGGAAAAGUUUUUUUUCAUAUUAAUAUAGCAUAUUUACCUUUAUUAAUAUGAUGAUGAUUAAAUAUACUUUAAAAGUUUAAUGGCUAAAUCUUGCUUUACUGUAGGACCUACAAGUCUCUCAGUCGCGUAAGCGGGGCAUAUGAUCACAAGAUGCAUUAAGGAAAGGUCUUGGAUUAUAGAAAAAGUUACGCUAGGGAUUUAUUUGCGCAAGAGAGUACAAAUUGAGUGCGCGGUUUGGCACCUCGAUGUCGGCUUAGCUCAUCCACAUGAAUGCAAAAAUCAUGAAGGGUUCGACUGUUCGUCGAUUAAAGAGCUACAUGAGCUGGGUUUAAUACGUCGUGAGACAGUAUGGUUUCUAUCUUCUAGAGGAAAUUAAAGUAGAAUAAAGAUAGCCCCUUCGUACGAAAGGAGUUGGGUAUAUUGACCUAUGGUUUACCUGUUGUUUAUGUUAAUAUAUCAUUUGCUUAUACUUAAGUAAAUUGUUCACAUGGGCAUGGCAGGAAGGCUACGUCAGUUAAAGAUAAGUGCUGAAAGCAUUUAAGCGCGAAGCUUACUUUAGGAUACUUUUAAACGUAGUAGAACACUACGA
rnacentral:rRNA from 1 species